rnacentral:lncRNA from 1 species
AAAACGUAGUUUCAAUAUAUGUUAUUGCCUAAAUAAGUUGGUAAGAUAUUUUAAUGUAAAAAUGAUUUUUGAGGUUAUCAUGUACAAAAAUCCAUAAUAACUGAUAGAUAGCCCACAUGCUCAGAGAAAAAUAACAAUUUGAAUGUCAUAAAUUAGUGGAGUUUAAUUAGUUAGUGGCAAUAUUUCUCUUCUCUGUUGUCUUUAGCUAUUCAAUCAGAUGAGCAGUGUUGAAAGGAAGGUAUCCAAGCAUUUAGCUACCUCAUAAAUGACAGGCUAAAGAAAAGGUAGAGUUUUAUAUUGUGCCAUUCAUUGGACUUUAUUGUCUGUAGCAGUUGUUUAUUAUUUAGGGCAUAGAGCUAUAAGACCAUUUGGUCUUAUAGUCAUGAAUCAGUGCCACAACCAAGUGGGAGUCUGACUUUGGUUGGAGUAUAUAAGGCUCCUCCAGCUCCACAGAAAGAGCAGAGGAAAAUUUGAAAGGACUUGUUCACAGCUUGCAUGAUGCUUUAGAAACCCUUUGUUACAGGAACAACCACUCCAGAAUUCUGAAGGAAGCAACAAAUAGCUGUUAGUUCAUCUCUGAUAUCCAUUAUAAGGUACUACUUAAUAAUGUCAUCAAGUUGCAGAGUAACUUUUUCUGAAGUAGUCUAGACAAAAUAUAUAUUCCUGGUAGGAUUUUUUUUUUAAUUUCUAUUUACAAUACAAGUUGUU